CGCCCGGGAACCCGACCGCGCAGGGCCGGCACUGGCUGCUGGGAGGCUGCUUCCUCGGGUUUCCCACGCUGUCCUUUCCUAGCUGACCCUCCCAGGGAGGCUUGCCUUUCCUGGGAGGCUGGCAGAGGAGUGGCACAGAGGACUUUUCUUACAAGCUCAGAUGGGGUCAAUAUAAACCAUCAUGGAGCAGGAGGAUCAACAGUGAGCCAGUGAGCCCCAGUGAGCCAGUCUUCUUGACCCCCAGAGGCCCGUAACUUGACUGGCUAGGUAUAAAAGCCAUAUGGAAGUCAAGCCAGAAGAGGCAACACAACCUUGAAAAAGAUGGAAGGUGGAAGACGAGUAUUUCCCAGGUUCAAAACCUAUAGUAAUCUUCCUACGGAGACCAGCAAAGAAUUGAUGGUAUAGGGAUAAACCACACAUUAGGGUCAAUUUCACGCAAGGUGCCCAAAGCAACUUGAUGGGAGAGAACUAUGUUCGUAGUUGUUUGGCUUUGGUCCUGGGGUUUGAACCUCACAUGUGCUGAGUAAGCACUCUUCCACUGAGCUACAUCCUCGUCCCUCGGUUUUCACAUCUUAUUUGGACAUGGGGCUUCACUAAAUUAUCGCUGCUGACUUUGAACUCAUUCUGUAGCCUGGGCUGGCCUUGAACUUGCAGUUCUCCAGCCUCAGCCUCCCAAUUAGCUGGGAUUCAGGACUUGUGGCAUAGGCCCAGCUAAAAAUACCCUAUUCGAAAAAUGGUGCUGGGCCAGGUGAAUAUCUUCGUGCAAAAGAGUAAAGUUGACUCUCUUCAGCACUGUAAACCUCCCUCAAAGUACUGUGUGGAUACAGUGUAUAUGUAUGGAGAUGUCACAAUGAAACUCAUUAUUUUGUACUUUAAUUUAAAAAUUCAUAAAAUACUAAGUCAAAAUGAAUCACUGACCUAUAUGUAAUAAUUAAAACUACAUUUCUUCUUUUCUUUCUA
rnacentral:lncRNA from 1 species